GCCAGGGUGGUGCAGUGGUUUGAGCAUUGGAUUAUGACUCUGGAGACCAGGGUUCAAAUCCCUACUCAAUCC
rnacentral:tRNA from 1 species